GACGAACGCUGGCGGCGUGCAUAAUACAUGCAAGUAGAACGCAGUUGCGAACGGAUGAGUAACGCGUAGGUAACUGCCUCAUAGCGGGGGAUAGCUAUUGGCAACGAUAGCUAAUCUAGCAUCCUGUGAGAUGGACCUGCGUUGUAUUAGCUAGUUGGUGAGGUAAUGGCGCACAAAGGCGACGAUACAUAGCCGACCUGAGAGGGGGAGCGGCGACACUGGGACUGAGAGAAGGCACAGACGCCUACGGUAGGCAGCAGUAGGAACACUUCGGGAAUGGACGGAAUUCUGACCGGGCAACGCCGCGUGAGUGAAGAGGGUUUUCGGAGCUUAAGGCUCGGUUGUUAGAGAAGCGGUAGCUAACCAGAAAGGGACGGCUAACUACGUGCCAGCAGCCGCGGUAAUUC
rnacentral:rRNA from 1 species